rnacentral:lncRNA from 1 species
UGUGCUGCCCCUUUCUACGUUUUUUCUCAUAAUAAGCAACACUCAGACAAUCCCUUGCGUGGAAGAGAAGCGCGUGGAUUAGUGCAUUAGUGAAACGUGAAUCAUGAAUCAUGAACAGUCGCAACUCAUGAGGAUGUUUCAGAAAAUUACUGUAUGUUAUAGAUAGACCAAUGACGAAGACGCGCAAUUGCCAGACGCAGAGACCUAAAAUAUGAGGAUAUUCGCCUCGAACCGAAUGAUGCGGUACCAGUCGCAAUACGUUUUGACAUGAGGUGUGUCGGCGGGGAAUCAUCAUGAUCAAAAAUAAAGAAACAAGAGGGUUUGUUGAUAAGUAAUCUAACUACGGAUGAGCUAGAAUGACCAGCUCUUGUGUAAGUAGGCUAAUUUUGCGCAUUACUGUGAUGAAGCAUUUUUUUCAUGACAAAAUGAUGCCAACAUGCAAUUGCUUGAGGAUUGAAAUUUCGCAGACAAAAUGUAAAAAAUAAUUGAAUAGGUUUCAUUACAUGUAGUCCUUUUAGGACAAGCACACAAAGAAUAUAUAUUUUUAAUACCACAAAUAGUCUAUUUUCCCCUGUAUUAAUAGCUAUAACCAAUAACCUAGGCUACAUCUUUUGCAAGCAUCAGAAAUGUGUUACAGGCGUUGCUAGGAUACAAGGGAUUCAAGGGCGUGUGCUUUCCUAUUUGCCUCUAUAGCAUACUGGGUUGUAACGUUACAUUUAGCAUGUAAUAGACCAAUGUAAACAAUUCAUGGUUUAAUAUUUUUCUGCAGAAACGAGACAACGAGCAGAGGAGGAGAUUACAGCACUUUCAAUCAGACCUCGCAAAUCUGGGGUCUUUACAGGGCUUUCAAUACUUCCAGCCUUGGCUGAGAGGGAGGGAGGAGCUGCUGCUGACAAUAGUCAAUGAGGAUCAGGGCUGGCAGUCUCCCGGCUUCCCGGUCUCAGCGGCCUCGUCCUCCCUCAGCAGCGCCAGCUCCAGCAGCUACAGCUUUGGCAGCGGCUAUGACAGCUCCCCACUGCCCGGGGAGAAGCCUCCUCUAGCGGCCAGGCCGAGGCAGCAGCAGACACAGGCCAAGCAGCAGCAGCAGCAGCAGCAGCAACAACAGGCCAGCAGGUGGAGAGGGCUGCACACUAGAACAUAAUGCACAGACGUGCACACUUACACGUGCAGUGUUGAACAUAUACUAUAGAAGCUACCUGUCAAAGGCUUUAGGGAGACCUGGUUGAAAUGUUGGUGUGUAUAAGCAGUCAUAUUGGUACGAACCAAUUUUUUGAGAGCAUCUUUAAACUGAUAAAGUGUUCCAGAUGUUGUUGGUAUUAGACAUAAUACAGCUAAUUUAGCUGUCCGUUUGAAUCAAUAGGGUCAAAUGAGACUCUAUGUGAGCAGCAGAUUAGUAGUAUUCAAUGAUGCAUAGGGGAAAGAAUUUAGAUUCUGUUCCAAAAUCCAAGUCGGAAUGUAACCUUCUGUGCAGUAGGUCUCCCAAGGCAUUUGACAGGUAGUGUGCACUCAUGCAGCCAUACAGACCUACUCAGUACACAUGCACUCACUGCUGAGGAGACACAACCUCACACACACACACACACACACACACACACACACACACACACACACACACACACAUACACACACACACAGACUUUGCUCCUCCCAUACAU